GACCGCGUAGCUCAGUUGGCAGAGCAUUGGAUUAGCUUCCAAAGGUCGUAGGUUCGAUUCCCACCGUGGUCA